rnacentral:rRNA from 2 species
CUGGGACUGAGACACGGCCCAGACUCCUACGGGAGGCAGCAGUGGGGAAUAUUGCACAAUGGGCGAAAGCCUGAUGCAGCGACGCCGCGUGAGGGAUGACGGCCUUCGGGUUGUAAACCUCUUUCAGCAGGGAAGAAGCGCAAGUGACGGUACCUGCAGAAGAAGCACCGGCUAACUACGUGCCAGCAGCCGCGGUAAUACGUAGGGUGCGAGCGUUGUCCGGAAUUAUUGGGCGUAAAGAGCUCGUAGGCGGCUUGUCGCGUCGGAUGUGAAAGCCCGGGGCUUAACUCCGGGUCUGCAUUCGAUACGGGCAGGCUAGAGUUCGGUAGGGGAGAUCGGAAUUCCUGGUGUAGCGGUGAAAUGCGCAGAUAUCAGGAGGAACACCGGUGGCGAAGGCGGAUCUCUGGGCCGAUACUGACGCUGAGGAGCGAAAGCGUGGGGAGCGAACAGGAUUAGAUACCCUGGUAGUCCACGCCGUAAACGUUGGGAACUAGGUGUGGGCGACAUUCCACGUUGUCCGUGCCGCAGCUAACGCA